GACGAACGCUGGCGGCGUGCCUAAUACAUGCAAGUUGAGCGCUGAAGGUUGGUACUUGUACCAACUGGAUGAGCAGCGAACGGGUGAGUAACGCGUGGGGAAUCUGCCUUUGAGCGGGGGACAACAUUUGGAAACGAAUGCUAAUACCGCAUAAAAACUUUAAACACAAGUUUUAAGUUUGAAAGAUGCAAUUGCAUCACUCAAAGAUGAUCCCGCGUUGUAUUAGCUAGUUGGUGAGGUAAAGGCUCACCAAGGCGAUGAUACAUAGCCGGCCUGAGAGGGUGAUCGGCCACAUUGGGACUGAGACACGGCCCAAACUCCUACGGGAGGCAGCAGUAGGGAAUCUUCGGCAAUGGACGAAAGUCUGACCGAGCAACGCCGCGUGAGUGAAGAAGGUUUUCGGAUCGUAAAACUCUGUUGGUAGAGAAGAACGUUGGUGAGAGUGGAAAGCUCAUCAAGUGACGGUAACUACACAGAAAGGGACGGCUAACUACGUG
rnacentral:rRNA from 1 species